AAGCAGGGGAUCGUAAGACCUUGCGCUUUUGGAGUGGCCGAUGCCUGAUUAGCUAGUUGGUGGGGUAAGGGCCUACCAAGGCGACGAUCAGUAGUUGGUCUGAGAGGACGACCAGCCACACUGGGACUGAGACACGGCCCAGACUCCUACGGGAGGCAGCAGUGGGGAAUUUUGGACAAUGGGCGAAAGCCUGAUCCAGCAAUGCCGCGUGAGUGAAGAAGGCCUUCGGGUUGUAAAGCUCUUUCAGUCGAGAAGAAAAGGUCGCGACUAAUAAUCGCGACUCAUGACGGUAUCGACAGAAGAAGCACCGGCUAACUACGUGCCAGCAGCCGCGGUAAUACGUAGGGUGCGAGCGUUAAUCGGAAUUACUGGGCGUAAAGGGUGCGCAGGUGGCUUUGUAAGUCAGAUGUGAAAUCCCCGGGCUUAACCUGGGAAUUGCGUUUGAAACUACAAAGCUUAG
rnacentral:rRNA from 1 species